rnacentral:lncRNA from 1 species
UUAACAAGUCUAAAUAACACCUGGUCCAGACUAAAGGACUAGAAGAAGCCUUCCCUCAGGACUGAAGGUACUCAAAGUAACGGACAUAAGAACAAACUCUGUGGAAAGAGGGUAACAUGGAAGAAUAGUAACAAAUAAUACAAGAAAAAUGGCAAUUACAGACAAACCAAGAGCCAGUACAGGAAAUGUAACUGUGUUCUCCUUGUCUCUGCUAUGAACAAUAUUUAUACCACCACAAUAAUGUAGAAACUAUUCAUCAAUUCCCUACUAUUAAAACCAAGCCAGAGGCAAAGUAAAGUAUAAGGAAGAACAGAACAGAAUACAAACGACCUCAACCUUGAGAAUCCAAAGCAGAAAUGACAGACAUGAUGGCAUAAAGAAGAAAAGAAAUGUGAGAAGAGAUAGCAGUAACAGCUUCAGAAGCAACAGCCUGCUGGGAAAUCAAGAUAAACAAUCCAUAUAAACAUGAAGAAAAAACUAUUAUAUUACAUAUAUUGCAAAGAGAACAGGGGAAUUAAAAGUGAUACACCUACUAGGUAACUAAACAAACAAA